GGAGAGGUGCUCGAGUGGUUGAAGAGGCACGCCUGGAAAGCGUGUAUACCCCAAAAGGGUAUCGUGAGUUCGAAUCUCAUCUUCUCCG
rnacentral:tRNA from 2 species